GGGCGAUUAGCUCAGUUGGUUAGAGCGUCUCGUUUACACCGAGAAGGCCAAAGGUUCGAAUCCUUUAUCGCCCACCA
rnacentral:tRNA from 1 species